CGGCGGACGGGUGAGUAACACGUGGAUAACCUACCUAUAAGACUGGGAUAACUUCGGAAACCGGAGCUAAUACCGGAUAAUAUAUUGAACCGCAUGGUUCAAUAGUGAAAGACGGUUUUGCUGUCACUUAUAGAUGGAUCCGCGCCGCAUUAGCUAGUUGGUAAGGUAACGGCUUACCAAGGCAACGAUGCGUAGCCGACCUGAGAGGGUGAUCGGCCACACUGGAACUGAGACACGGUCCAGACUCCUACGGGAGGCAGCAGC
rnacentral:rRNA from 1 species